rnacentral:lncRNA from 1 species
AUGUUGUGCGUCUCCCUAAUUCUCUGUCCCUGUGUCCCUGUCCUUUCUCCAUUGCCCCCUGUAGUUAAAGGUUACUCCCAGCGGGGUCGACCAGUCAGCUCAGGCUCCACAGAGAGCAGUGCUCUGGGUACACAGAGCCUCGGUCACCAGAGGUCCACACACACUGGACGCAAACCCCAGGCAGAAACUGUUGGGACACUGCCCCGCCAGAGAGACUCCCCCACAGAUGUGGCCUCUCCUACCCCUGAGCCUGUCCACAGUGUGGGGGCAAGGCUGCACGGGUCAUGGGCGUCUGGUGGCUCGGACCCCCCAGAGGAGUGUAUGGUCUCAACGCUGGAGCGGCAGCAUAUGGCCUCCUGGAGCGGCAGAUCCUCUAACAUGGCCACUCUGGGCAGGACACGCCACAGGGCUGCGGCUGGCGCGGGCACAGACCACCCACACAACAUCCACCCGUCUCCCAACAGCACCGAGCAUAGCUAUGGAGAACGAUAGUCUUUGUGAGUCGGUGCUGCCUGUGCUGCCUGUCCCAGGACACCUUGUCUAUAAGUGCAAUGAGAUUUCCCCUCUGCGAAUGCUACAGGAUGGAAUAUAAAGAGAAGGCUGGAAGAUGAAAGAGAGAGAAAGAGGGAGCCAGAGAGAAACGCAGAGCUGUAAAUGUGAUGUACAGACACACAGACACACAUCUCAGUGUUCUUUUUACAGUGUUACUUUCAUCCCUCCUUCCAAAAGAAUAUACUGUAUAUCACAUGCCCCUCCUAUUUCAUGUCACAUGAUGUACAGUAACUCACUCCACAUUAAUGAAAAAUACAAAUCUCUGCAGUUAAACUAUUGACUCAUGAAAGUGUAAGGACUUGCAUUUCCUGUAAAUGGGUUUUGUAUUUUCAGUUUUUUUUCUUUUUUUCUUUGCUAUGCAAGCCAAAUUCUGACAUUGAAGUUGUCUCGUUUACUUGUCAUUUUACAUUGUGAGUUGAUGGACUGUGGUGCCACAUUUGUUUUUCAUAAAUGCUCGAAAUAUUGCUUAAUUUUGAUGAAACUACUGUUUUGUUGUUUGCACAGAGCAUUUUGUGAUGAUAAGCACAAAGUCAUCAGCUGAGGCUCAGAGAAGAAUAAUGAAGAGGAGUGUCUAUAAUAUACCUUACAUUUAAGAAAUAUAAUAUUUGACACAGUAAAUGCUUUUCAGAGACAGAUGUAUUGAGAGAUAUAAGAAACACAAAGAAAUUCAGAAAUUAAAAAGACGCCCACAUAGAAAAUGUUAUGAUGUUUUGUUUUUCAAUCUGCAGUGGUCCGUGGGGAUGAUGUGACAGAUGUGCAAUGUUGCCCAUACACUACAUGCCCAUUACAGUGAGACAGCAGUACUUGGAACCCUCCAAAUAAUGACAGUUCAGAAUAAUCAAUAAAGUUAAACCAUCUAUGUGUAACAUUUCAAAUGGAACUGUUAAUGCAGAGGCAGAGGACAAUAGCUAGUUGUUGAUAGGGAGGUGUUGGGCCCAUAGAGCACCACUCAGGUGUGGUUAGGUGUGGACAGCUGUGUGCACAGAUGGACUCUGUCAGUGUUACCCAUGGGGACAGAGUGAUAACACAGUGAGACAGGUCUUAAGAUGAAGAGAUGUUGGCCUUUAGAAAUCUAGCUAAUCCCGAACUGGGUUUCCAGAGCUCUGAGUGACUAGCAAGCAUGAUUAACAACAAUAUGCAAUUAGAUUAUAAUAAUAGACCCAUCAUAGAUGUGAUGGCCGCCUGUUUUAAUCCUAGUGGUGCGGUAUAAUGUGGCCCCUUUAUCACCCUGGUAACAGACUGGUAACAGAUGAACGCUCAUCAGGACACGUAUGGUUACCUAGGCAGAGUGAGCCCCUUGCCAAGUGAGGAAAUCCUUAACACUGUAACCAGUCACGGAGGGCAGCUGGUUGCUAGUUCUUGCCUACGAGAUUCAUAAUGCAGUGUUUUGAUUCCCUUCUUUGUAUGGUUCUUUUCUGGUUGUCCUUUGUAUUGGCUCCACCUGUAAAAACUCUGUACCUGCCAGAGUCCGGUCUGCCCUCAGGAAUACACGUACAGUGUGGCCAGUCCUACGAUACAAAUAAAAUGUGUAUGUGGAAUCAACCAUGAGUCUCUGUGCUAUGCAUGUGAGUUGAUGGUCCAAGAUAUUCUUCUCAUAUGAUAAUUGUUCAUGCUGAUUUUCUUAAUACUGAUUUUCCCAUUAGGACAUUAUGUGCAUACACUUAUAAGCUCCACAUUAGCAUAAUGCACACACUUUUAACAGGAUGAGAGAUUAGUUACAUAUGAAUAAGAACAAUACUCGGUCUCCAUCUCUCAAGCGUCUCUGUGUUAAAUCGGUCUUAGUCAGAGCUAAG